UAUAAUUUUAACUACAAAUGGUUCUGUAAU
rnacentral:piRNA from 1 species